rnacentral:rRNA from 1 species
GACGAACGCUGGCGGCGUGCCUAAUACAUGCAAGUCGAACGUAGCUUUUUUAACUGGUGCUUGCACCGACUUAAACAACUGAGUGGCGAACGGGUGAGUAACACGUGGGUAACCUGCCCCAAAGCGGGGGAUAACAUUUGGAAACAGAUGCUAAUACCGCAUAACCACAGAAACCACAUGGUUUCUGUGUCAAAGAUGGUUUCGGCUAUCACUUUGGGAUGGACCCGCGGCGUAGUAGCUAGUUGGUAAGGUAAUGGCUUACCAAGGCAAUGAGACGUAGCCGAACUGAGGGGUUGAUCGGCCACAUUGGGACUGAGACACGGCCCAAACUCCUACGGGAGGCAGCAGUAGGGAAUCUUCCACAAUGGACGAAAGUCUGAUGGAGCGACGCCGCGUGAGUGAAGAAGGUUUUCGGAUCGUAAAACUCUGUUGUCAGAGAAGAACGUGUGCGAGAGUAACUGUUCGUGCAGUGACGGUAUCUGGCCAGAAAGCCACGGCUAACUACGUGCCAGCCGCCGCCGUAA